rnacentral:rRNA from 1 species
UACAGAGGUCCCAAGCGUUGUUCGGAUUCAUUGGGCGUAAAGGGUGCGUAGGUGGCGUCGUAAGUCGGGUGUGAAAUCUCGGGGCUUAACUCCGAAACUGCAUUCGAUACUGCGGUGCUUGAGGACUGGAGAGGAGACUGGAAUUUACGGUGUAGCAGUGAAAUGCGUAGAGAUCGUAAGGAAGACCAGUGGCGAAGGCGGGUCUCUGGGCAGUAACUGACGCUGAGGAGUGAAAGCGUGGGGAGCGAACAGG